rfam:Chondromyces crocatus strain Cm c5, complete genome.
CUUGAUGGAGCCGAGCCACAGGGGCCGCUGCUGGGACCGCGCCUUGCCGUAGGUGGCGAGCAAGGCCUGCGCCUC